UAGCCCGUAUUGGUAAACGCAUGGCACUAAUGCUGCCAGGGUCGUGGGUUCGAUUCCCACUCACGCCCA